ensembl:lncRNA
UGUCGUAAAAAGCUUAAAUUACAUUUUAUUCCUCAGGCUUAAAACACAAAUUGGAGAAUUAUUCAAAUUAAGCUUACUUACUUCCCAUACCUCAAAAUUAUAAAAUGAUAGCACAGGGUAAUUGCAAACAGAGGUAAAAUCCAAAAUUUUGCACAUGGGUAGAAACAGACAGAAAAUGUCAUAUAACUUUUGGGGACACUGGAUAAUGAUAAAUUUAAAGAGCAAAGGAAAAACUCUGGUUUCAACCAAUUCCUAUUUCAUGUAUUUAAGAAUUCCAAUAUUUCUGAAAUAUAUAGAUGUGGUCAGUUUUAGAAAAUAGGACCGUUAUGGUAUGAAUUCUUACUUCAAGACCAAUAGCAACAACAACAAAACAUUAUCUAAAACAAUUAGAAAAAAAAAAGUCCCACCCAAAUUCUCAGAAAUUAGCUUAUGAAAAUAUUAAAAUAAUUGGAAUUUUGUACUAUAUAUUUAAACAGUAGCUUCACUGUUAAAGAUUUCAUGAAAUUCUCCCAUAAUAAUAUAAUAUUUUAUGUGAGAUGCAUGUAAAUAUAUAUUUAUAAGCUAAUGAAACUAGAAAAUUAGAUAAGCAUCUGCAAGCUUUUAUGCAAUUGAAUACUUUGCAGUUGGCAAAGCAUUUUACAGAAGCUCAUUUAAUCCUCACAACAACCCUGUGAGGUGGGCAGGGAAGUCACUGCCAUCUCUGCUUUGUGGUUUGGACCCUGAACACAGAGACUUUCGGGAACAUAUCUGAGGAUAAUAACUGUGAAUCUCCUUUUUUGCUCCUAGUCCCACACAUUUUCCUGUUGAUACCAAACUAAUUAUCAGUGAGAUGGAAAAAAUCUGAACCUGUGUAAGGAAUAAAUGUAAGUCAACUAUGAUUCUAUGACAUUUAUAUUCAUUGGAGGAUAGUCUUUCGGACUACAUUGUUAUUGUGUGAGGUACCUAUUUUUGAUUACUGCUCGUGUUGAAAAUAAGUGAAUUAGACUGAAAUACAAACCAACUAGCAAAAUGUUUGACAAUUAAUUUUAAAUACAGAAAUGAUCAAAAUUGCUGAUUUAAAUAUAAAAAAACAAGUGGAAAAAAGGAAAAUAAAGUUCCCCAACCUUUGGGAGAAGAUAAGGUGUGUGGUUAUUGUUAAAAUUAAAUCAUUCCCUGACAUAUCAGAUUAUCAUAACAUACUUUAAACUAUUCUUUCUGUCCAUUUAAAAAUAGGAGUAUCCCAUUAAAAUAAAAGGGGGUGUACGGGAUAGAGACAAUAGUCUCGUGCUCAGUACAGCACACAACUGGUGCACUGAAGUUGCAUACAUUAUAGUGCAGGCAGCAAAUCCCCAUGCUCCAUCAGUUUUGUAUGGAGAAAAGAACUGGGGAGGGCAAAGGGAAAUGGUACAUACAAGUCCAUGAUAGAGUGGAAAUACCUCAUGUAAUAUAAACACAAGACAAGGCUAGUGAGAUCUGUUACAAUAACAGAGAGUGGUUCUCAAGGGUUCACCCAGAAAAGUGAUAAAAGAGGUCAUGAUUACCUUUACAAGUUUCCUGUAUUAGUGUUACCACCCCUAUAAGUCAUAGCCAUCAGUGAUCUUGAGCGUUUUUGUUUAGUUUUGCUUUUGAAAAAAAUAAAUCACAAAAUAUUGAAACAAAUAUCAUUGUUUGGCUUAAUGCAGGUAUUCUU